UACGGAGGAUGCGAGCGUUAUCCGGAAUCACUGGGUUUAAAGGGUGCGUAGGCGGGAGAAUAAGUCAGAGGUGAAAUCUGGUCGCUUAACGAUCAAAUUGCCUUUGAAACUGUUUUUCUUGAAAUAUGAUGAGGUUGGCAGAAUGUGACAUGUAGCGGUGAAAUGCAUAGAUAUGUCAUAGAAUACCAAUUGCGAAGGCAGCUGACUGGUCAUUAUUUGACGCUGAGGCACGAAAGCGUGGGGAGCGAACAGG
rnacentral:rRNA from 1 species